UUGAUUUACUCACGAUACAGAAGUACAUAUAAAGCGUGCUUCCUUCUCUUCAUAUCCCCGAAACAUCUUCGUAUACCUGUUUAGCGCAGUAACUAGAAAUAUACCAGCUGCUCCAACCACGAUACUCUACAAUUUCAAAUUUCAAACAGCAAAUAAAUGAGGAGGAGAGUGAUGAUGAUAAUGAUGAUAGGUACGUCCCAGAAAUUUUAGACUGCAGUUCAGUACACUGAAGACUUUUGCAAACCAUUGAAAAAUGUCAAUGAAACUCUUUACAAACUAGAGAGCUUUCUGGGAUACUUUUAAUGUAUCUAUAUGUCCCACAAUCAUUCCUAUGAGAUUAUGAAAACAAGUGAUGUCUUCUCCGUCUCUCAAAAUCUUGAACAUCGAUCACAUCCAGUGGUAUCUUAGCGCUAGUAUGGACAGAAAAUUUGACAAAGAAAUUAUAUUCAGGAGCCAUUUCUAAAUAUAAGACUACCAUUCUGAGUAUUGGCAUUAAAAUCUUCCCAAUACUUACUUGGCAAAUUAGAACUGCACUGUCAGACGAAUCAGCGUGGAAAGUAUUUCUUGGAAUUUCAUGAACAUAUAUCAAUCUUUCGCAGUGAUGACGACAGAAAAAGCAACAAUGUUGUUAUUCCCUUAAAUAAAUAUAUGAUUAAAUAAAAGAAAACAAUUGAAAUAAAUGAA